UGACUAAUCGGGAGCUUCUGGACGAUUCCAGAAGGGCCGGCCGGCCAGAUGGGCCGGUCCGCGUUUUAUUAAAAAAAAAAAAAAAAAAAAUUACACUGUUAUCAUUUUUUGUUUGGUAUUUAUUUAUGACAGUGUCACUGAGUAUAACUUACAUUCUGUUACCGCUGUCCCUGUGGGCCGUCUUAAAAAAAAAAAAAAAACAGUAUUAUUUUUUUUUUCCAGACUCAUCCUCACGUGUGCAGACGAAAAAUACAGCAUGCAGCUCCGCCCCCUAAUUGUAGUCUGUAUUGAGCCAAAUUAGCUGCUAUCUCGGUGCUCGGAUGGAUAAAAAGAGCAAGGGUGGCGCUGAAAAAUAAGAAUUAAAAAGAGAAAAGCACUCGUGAAAGAAUCGGCAAAAUGCGCGAAAAUAGCUAAUUUUUUUCAUGCAACGACCUUGCUGCCUCAAACUACAGAGGAUUACAACGAAAGUGCACCUCACAAGGGAUAUGUAGCAGCAAGCAUUAGCCAUAAUGAACACACCACAGGUGCAGAGCUGGAAGAUAGCUGUCCCACAAGGCAGUCGUCCAGGAGCAGGCAACCUUGGGGACUCCGAUCAGUCUCCACAAAUUCCCCAGGGAUGAAGAGCUGAGAGCCAGGUGGCUCAAAAGCCUAAAGAGGGCCGAGAACGAUGACCCAAGUGAGGAAAGUACUGCUGCUCCUUGCACUUCAAAGAGAGUGACUUUAAAGUGAUGCCCACAGGAGGGAGGCAGAGGCAGAGAAAGCGGCUUAGAGAGGAUGCCAUGCUGAACAAUUUUCGCCACAGCACGGUCUGCCCGCCCUGCAUGCAGGAAGCGCCUCCUGCCCCCAAGAGGCCUACGUCCAUGGUCUCAUCGACGGCCAGGAGGUUGAAACAGGUUGCGGAGGCUGUGAGGAUGGAGCAAAAGUUAAUGGAUAGC